GACGUAGGGCGCGAGCGUUGUCCGGAUUUAUUGGGCGUAAAGAGCUCGUAGGCGGCUUGUCGCGUCGUCCGUGAAAACCUGCGGCUCAACUGCAGGCUGGCGGUCGAUACGGGCAGGCUGGAGUUCGGUAGGGGAGACUGGAAUUUACGGUGUAGCGGUGAAAUGCGUAGAUAUCGUAAGGAAGACCAGUGGCGAAGGCGGGUCUCUGGACAGUUCCUGACGCUGAGGCACGAAGGUCAGGGGAGCAAACGGG
rnacentral:rRNA from 1 species